UGAAGGCAAGGAUGCAUUUUAGGGAACUUUUAUUCUUAACUGUUUAAACAAAAGAAGUCUUGAUGUCUGGAAGGACAGGUCUCUGUCAUCUGAAAACCGCCCCAGUAUGAACCCCUCAGGCUGCCACGAUGUAGGACAAACGGCCAAUCCUCUCCCAGGAUGCGGUGGGUUCCACUCCUGUGGCUUUUGCUUGUUUCAUUUUGGUGUCUUAGAUGCCAUGGCCACUUACGCCUUUGCAGAAAGUGUGAAAGGGGCAGCUUCUCAUCCAAAUAUCAACCUGAAAAGCAAAGAGGCUCAGAACAGGGGCUGUCUGUAUUCACAAAAUAAUACCAUGCUAAUGAACCGCACCGCAGAGACUCUGUACAGCAAUUCUGAUUUCUAAUGGAAUCUGGAAGAGGGGCUCAUUAGAGAUGCUAGGCGUGUCAUUCACUUUAAUUAAUAUUUGAGCUGGGAGAGCUCGGAGAAGCCAGCCCAACGAAUGAGAUUUCAAAGAGAGGGAGGGGAGGAAGGGGCAGGAUAUUGACAUGAAUAAAGGCGACCUUAAUUAAAGGAUUAAUGAUGACAAUAACAAUAAAAAAAAUCGCCCCAUCCUCACUUUGUUUCUGCAGUGGCAAAGUCCUGCUUGAGGCAGCACCAGGCUGAGAACGGCCUUCACAGCUUGGAGGAAGG
rnacentral:lncRNA from 1 species